rnacentral:piRNA from 1 species
GCGGAAUGGAAGGUGUCCACGAUGGG